CUCUCACUCCAGCUUUAAGGAUGCCAUCACUUCUGUUCUGUGUGAUCCACGAUUGUCCAGGAGAUUGACAGGGCUAGGGAUCCUUUCUUGUUGGAUGCCCUCGCUUCUGUUUUUUAAAUGCCUGCAGCCUUUUCCAGAUUCCCACUCUAGUUGUCUUGUUUGAGGAGAUCUUUUCUAUCUGUUUGUGUGUUCACAAGCAACAUUUACUUGCUUUAAGGAUGCCCUCAGUUCUGUGAUCCAUGAUUGUCCAGGAGAUUAUUUAUUUAAGAC